rnacentral:rRNA from 1 species
CAUACGGGAGGCUGCAGUGGGGAAUAUUGGACAAUGGGGGGAACCCUGAUCCAGCCAUGCCGCGUGUGUGAAGAAGGCCCUCGGGUUGUAAAGCACUUUCAGUGAGGAAGAACGCCUGGUGGUUAAUACCCAUCAGGAAAGACAUCACUCACAGAAGAAGCACCGGCUAACUCCGUGCCAGCAGCCGCGGUAAUACGGAGGGUGCGAGCGUUAAUCGGAAUUACUGGGCGUAAAGCGCGCGUAGGUGGCUUGAUAAGCCGGUUGUGAAAGCCCCGGGCUCAACCUGGGAACGGCAUCCGGAACUGUCAAGCUAGAGUGCAGGAGAGGAAGGUAGAAUUCCCGGUGUAGCGGUGAAAUGCGUAGAGAUCGGGAGGAAUACCAGUGGCGAAGGCGGCCUUCUGGACUGACACUGACACUGAGGUGCGAAAGCGUGGGUAGCAAACAGGAUUAGAUACCCGAGUAGUC